UUACGCCGGCCACCACACGUGGCCGGUUCAUUCAUGGGGACACGGGACACCUUUUACGCCGCACGCGCCGCUUUCCGCGCCAGCCGGCUGCGACCCUCGCAUGCGUGGACCACGGAGCCGAAGGAAGAUAUUAUUCGCAACGAUCGAAAGGAACGGGAAGUCGAUGAAUAUUUUCUCUUAACUCGUCGAAGAUAGUGUUCGUCCGCGCGUGUCGCUCCAGGAGUGUGCAACAAUUUAAGGCUUGUUUUCGCUUCUUAGAUUUUGUGAAGAGAGAAUCGACGUUCGGCGAAUUUAAUAUAGUCGGAACUGUUUGAAAUUGUUCUUUGGUGAUUCAGUGUGCGUGUGGCACGCGUGAGCGUUUAGAGGUUAAUGAUUUUGAUAAGUUCAGAGUGUCGUAACGUUGUCAGUCGUUCCAACGUUUUGUUAUCAAUUUAUUGUUAUUAUUAUUAUUAUCGGAGUGUGGAUCAAGAGUAACUGAGGUACAAAAUGAACGUUGUAUACGUGUACUUUACAAUGUCAAAAUCACUCUGCAUUUUUCGCUCGGGAUUGCAUUGGUUGCCUGAUCGCGAUUGACCAGCUCGCCGAAUCUAUCGUUGCCUCGUUAUGGAAAAGCUCAGCAGAUGGCGCGGUCGUUUCUAAUAGCCAAUAGAUCGGUAUCAAUGCAUUUCAUAUGUACCGACAGUUAUGUCUAAUAUAAUAAUAAUUAUGUCUAAUUAUGUCUAAUUAUAUCUAAUAUAAUAAUGUUGUAUUAAUCUAAUACAUGAUUUUUACCGCAGAUGUUUAGCUAUUUUAAAUUUAAAAAACAAUUGGAGCAAGAGAGAUCGUCACUAAGCAAAGGAUAUAGCCGGAUAACGGGGUCAAAAGUGACCCUGAACCAAAUCGAACUUGCAAUGAACCGUUCGAUAGCUUAUCGAAAGAAGAUACUUUGUGCCAGUUUUCAACCCUAAAUGUCGACUUGGAGGGUAGAGAUGGGGUGACAAAGGAAAUCAUAUAUCUCCGCAAUUUCUUUUAUCUUCUUCACUUGAAAAUUCUGAAAAAAAUCUGGGAUAUGUUAACUAUUAAGAGACACAGCCAUGAUUUUUUUCAGAACUUUUGGUCUCGAAAUCGAAUUUUUAAGAAUUAAAAAGUUUUGAAGGCCAAGCGUUAUUCAAUUAUGGCUACGCCAAUGACCCCGUCCCGUAACGGGGCUCGAACUACGGUCCGCUGCCCGCUUGCUCGAAAUCCAUCGCUUCCUGUACCAACGACUUUUUAUCGAGCUGGCCGGGAUUAAUUAAAUACCGGUGCACGAUGGCAUUCGACUGCUCCUCGCGAAGGGUUGCGCCUACGUGAUCGCACCUGCGAUUUUACCUUGUUGAGGACGGUGCGCUCUUCCGCAUUCUUUUGCAGCUUCUGCCUGCGUAACCUUUGUGGCCACGAUUCUGCAGAGCCGGAUGAGAGGGUCAAAAGUGACCCUAAACUAAAUAGUACUUGCAAUGGACCGUUCGUACGCCUAAAUCCCGCGCCGCGCACCAACGAAAUGCUCCUAUGCAUCUUCGGUCUUGCCGAUCCUUUUUCCAAGCAUCGGGGGACAUAUUCUCACGAAAUCCGGUUCUACUGGUUUCAGAGAUAGAUUCAAAGGUGUAGGCCCGGGUACGGUGACUCAAACAUUAGUACGUUCGCAGAAUAAUAAGAAAAUAAACCAUAUAAUAAUAAAGUACUAAAAAUAAAGUACAUUGCACGAUG